UGGGGAAUAUUGGGCAAUGGGCGCAAGCCUGACCCAGCAACGCCGCGUGAGGGAAGAAGGUCUUCGGAUUGUAAACCUCUGUCCUUGGGGACGAAAAAAAUGACGGUACCCAAGGAGGAAGCUCCGGCUAACUACGUGCCAGCAGCCGCGGUAAUACGUAGGGAGCGAGCGUUGUCCGGAAUUACUGGGCGUAAAGGGUGCGUAGGCGGCAUGGCAAGUCAGAUGUGAAAUCCCCGGGCUUAACUCGGGUGGUGCAUUUUAAACUGCUGUGCUUGAGUGCAGGAGAGGAAAGCGGAAUUCCUAGUGUAGCGGUGAAAUGCGUAGAUAUUAGGAAGAACACCAGUGGCGAAGGCGGCUUUCUGGACUGUAACUGACGCUGAGGCACGAAAGCGUGGGGAGCAAACA
rnacentral:rRNA from 1 species